UACGAAGGGGGGCUAGCGUUGCUCGGAAUCACUGGGCGUAAAGGGUGCGUUAGGCGGGUCUUUAAGUCAGGGGUGAAAAUCCCUGGAGCUCAACUCCAGAACUGCCUUUGAUACUGAGGAUCUUGAGUUCGGGAGAGGGUGAGUGGGAACUGCGAGUGUAGAGGUGAAAUUCGUAGGAUAUUCGCAAGAACACCAGUGGC
rnacentral:rRNA from 1 species